UACGUAGGGUGCAAGCGUUGUCCGGAAUCAUUGGGCGUAAAGAGCGUGUAGGCGGCCAGACAGGUCCGUUGUGAAAACUCGAGGCUCAACCUCGAGACGCCGAUGGAAACCGUUUGGCUAGAGUCCGGAAGAGGAGAGUGGAAUUCCUGGUGUAGCGGUGAAAUGCGCAGAUAUCAGGAAGAACACCCGUGGCUAAGGCGGCUCUCUAGUACGGUACUGACGCUGAGACGCGAAAGCGUGGGGAGCGAACAGG
rnacentral:rRNA from 1 species